rnacentral:rRNA from 1 species
UACGGAGGGUGCAAGCGUUAUCCGGAUUUACUGGGUUUAAAGGGUGUGUAGGCGGACUUUUAAGUCAGCGGUGAAAUCUCCGGGCUCAACCCGGAAACUGCCAUUGAUACUAUUAGUCUUGAAUCUUGUUGAGGUAGGCGGAACGGGUCAUGUAGCGGUGAAAUGCAUAGAUAUGACCCGGAACACCGAUUGCGAAGGCAGCCUACUAAGCAAAGUAAUUGACGCUGAGGCA